UACGGGUCGGGCCCUCUAUCGCCAAGCCAGCCAGCGUGGGUCCGUCGCCGCCUCACUCCCUCUUCCAGUCCUAUCCAAAAAGAGUCCCGGGCUGAAAGGAACUCCUAAGGACACAAGGUUCCGUGAUACUUCGCUAUCCUGCAUCACAAGGUCACUCCAUGUGCAAGACUCCUGCUCCGGUCUGAGCUCCCCGGCACAAUUCGUGAAUCCAAAUGUGAGAGGCUGAAGGGCAGAAAAGAAAGAAGUACAACUCAUGGAAGAGGUUGUUGCUUGGAAAGACGCCACGCAUCUGAAAAAAAAUCUGUUAACUAUUUGUAGAAGCCUCAAAGCCACAGAGAAAAGACGGAACAAACUAUUAGCAGCUGCUGAAGUUUUGGGGUUGCAGUAGGUGUGAAUCUGGGUGCAAAGAAUGUGCGUAAGCCCUAUCCUUGGUGCCACAUGGAUUUAAUAGUCUCCAUAAAGAACUCCAAAGAUCUCAGCCUACGUUUUCCACUCCCACCCCCCAAAAACAGAUAAAGCCACAAAAUACACAGUUCAAACCCAGAGUUUGAACAGUUAAGCCUGAUGAGUUGAUCUGAAAUUUUAGCCUGACUGAAGCUGCAACUAUCAUGUCAAAUUAAUGCAGUUUGACACCACUUGAAGAGCCAUCAAUGCUAUCUUGGGGGUUUUAAGGCAUCAAUACUCUUGGGCAGAGAAGUUGAAGCCCUUGGUAGAUUACAAAUGCCAUGAUUCCAUAGCACUAAGCUAUGGUACUUAAAGUGGUGUCAAACUGCAUUAAUUAAUCAGUAUAGAUGCACCCUAAGCAAAUAUUAAGCUGACUGAGCAAAUCUGUCAAUUUCUCACACAUAUCUCAGGUUCUUUCCUCUCCCAGUGAAAUGCACAGAUAUUGAUAAUUUUUUUAAUGAAUUUCAUAAAAAUUACCACCUUAGAUGUACAGGCAGUCUCUAAAUUACAAACAAGAUAGGUUCUGUAGACCUGUUCUUAAGCUGAACUUGUUUGCUAGUCGGAACAGCUACAUUUUUGAUGGGUAGCAUAGGGAAGAGUUAACACCCCUGUGGUGUUUGUUUUGCUGUCUGUGCCCCUGUUCAGAAGAUUUCACCUCACUUUCUGUCCCUGUGAUAAUUGAAUUUUGAUUAAUUUGGCUUGUUGUGGAAAUAAGGAUUGGUGAUAAAGUCACUUACGUGACUGAAAUUGAUACGACCAUUUUAUUUGCAGCUAUCGCUGCAUUUUACUGAAUAUUUUCAUUAAUAGAGGUUUAUGCUUUUUAAGUAAAUCUGUUAUGUGUAUUACUGUAUUUUGUUACGUAUUUACUGUAUUGUAUAUAGCACUGCACUACCAUGUGCUUUUAAGCUGCCCCAAGUCCCUUUCGGGAGAUGGUGACGAGAUAUAAAGUUGUUGUUAUUGUU